rnacentral:rRNA from 1 species
UACGGAGGGUGCAAGCGUUAUCCGGAUUCACUGGGUUUAAAGGGUGCGUAGGUGGGCAGUUAAGUCAGUGGUGAAAUCUCCGGGCUUAACCCGGAAACUGCCAUUGAUACUAUCUGUCUUGAAUACCGUGGAGGUGAGCGGAAUAUGUCAUGUAGCGGUGAAAUGCUUAGAUAUGACAUAGAACACCAAUUGCGAAGGCAGCUCACUACACGAAUAUUGACACUGAGGCACGAAAGCGUGGGGAGCAAACAGG